UACGUAGGUGACAAGCGUUGUCCGGAUUUACUGGGCGUAAAGAGCGCGCAGGCGGUCGUUCAAGUCGAGUGUGAAAGCCCCCGGCUCAACUGGGGAGGGUCACUCGAUACUGAUCGACUCGAAGGCAGGAGAGGGAAGUGGAAUUCCCGGUGUAGUGGUGAAAUGCGUAGAUAUCGGGAGGAACACCAGUGGCGAAGGCGACUUCCUGGCCUGUUUCUUGACGCUGAGGCGCGAAAGCUAGGGGAGCAAACGGG
rnacentral:rRNA from 1 species